AGUGAACGCUGGCGGUAGGCCUAACACAUGCAAGUCGAACGGCAGCACAGUAAGAGCUUGCUCUUACGGGUGGCGAGUGGCGGACGGGUGAGGAAUACAUCGGAAUCUACUUUUUCGUGGGGGAUAACGUAGGGAAACUUACGCUAAUACCGCAUACGACCUACGGGUGAAAGCAGGGGAUCUUCGGACCUUGCGCGAUUGAAUGAGCCGAUGUCGGAUUAGCUAGUUGGCGGGGUAAAGGCCCACCAAGGCGACGAUCCGUAGCUGGUCUGAGAGGAUGAUCAGGCAGACUGGAACAGAGACACGGUCCGGGCGCACACGGGAGGCAGCAGUGGGGAAUAGUGGACAAUGGGCGCAAGCCUGAUCCAGCCAUUUCGCGUGGGUGAAGAAGGCCUUCGGGUUGUAAAGCCCUUUUGUUGGGAAAGAAAAACAGCAGGUUAACUCCCCGCUGUUCUGACGGUACCAAAAGAAUAGGCACCGGCUAACUUAGU
rnacentral:rRNA from 1 species